ensembl:lncRNA
GCUAAUUCUGUACAUUCAAAUGAAACAGAGGGGAAAUAUACUGAAUGGAGCCCAUGUAUAAGAUCAUAUGAAAUGUAAAAAGCCUUGUUGUUCUGCGCACACACUGCCUCUUCAAUCCAGUUCUGCUUAAAUGCCCAUUCUUCUCGUUUGGCAUCUCCUUGUCCCUCUAUGGCCGAAUCAAAAGAGGGACGAAAUAAUGACACAAAGAUUUUUAAAAACUCAGCCCCAGCUGCAGCAGGGAGAAGCCUGAAGCGAAACGUGAGAGCGUACGGCUCUUUGUUAGGGUUUCCUUGGCUAUAGAAUAUGGUAUAUGAAACGCCUGGCGUAUCCCGUUCGGUCCUAUGGAGGGAGAGCUCUUAAGGUGGCUCCUCCGGGUUUGGGGCGGCUGUGGGGAGCCAGCCCUGCAUUUGCAGGCAGCGAACGUCCCACCUGCAGGACCCCGCGCCCCAGGGCUGCUCUGCAGGCGGUGGGUGGUCCGGAUGGGAUUUUGCUUUCUUUAUUGUAGCUGCCGCUUUGCGUGGGGAAACCUAACUCAACGCUCCUCGUCGGGAGAUGGUUCCAGUUUAUACGGGCUUCUAGGAAACAGAGACGCUUUUCUCCAUGCACACGCGAGCAUGGCACCACCUUGCCCAGCCAUGGGCUGAACUCUGCAUUUUGGAGCUGGUAGGUGCCCAGGCGGCUGCGGGCCCCCAUUGCCACCAACACAGCCCCGGCGUGUCCCCACCACAGGUGGCAGUGCUGCGGGAAGUGUCAGCCACCCAACAGGACCAGCAGCACUGAACCACAGCCACUCAGUGCGGCGGGGAGCCGGUCUGAGCAGCUCUGAGCCACGUUGCUUAACCUAAACAAAUGCUCUGUAAACAUCAACACUAAUUCCUUGUCUACGGGCCGCAGCGCUUUCCUCUCCUAGGCUCCUCCAGCAGCAAUCUGCUGGUGCCCGCUGUGUUUUCCACAGGACCUAUCUCUGUCACAGCCACCAGCCCGUCCCCUGUAGGACAGGAUCCCCUCUCAGCCCUUGGGACAUGCUAGCAAUGGGCUCCUCACGUGGGUUCCCCCUGGGAAAACCCAGUGAUGCUGGGAUACUCGGAGCAUGAAAGCACCAAAGGCCCAGCAGCCAGCCCUGCCACCUCAACAGGUAACAAAGCCACUCAGCGGUGCUGUAAGUCCUCUGCACUGUGCAUUAUCUGGGGCAGGCUCGGGCCGCGGGGUCCCUGCACAUCAUACCCACUCCUGAAGAAGUCUGCCUGCAGGGCCCGUGCCGGCACAUCAGGAGACGUGUUGCUCGCUUGUCCCCAGCGCCGGUGAGGAGCAGCACAUUCCUCUGCAGCAGCUGGAGCUGCCUCAUGACACUGGUGUGCGUGGCUGGCAGCACGCUGGUGCAGAGCAGCGGGGGACAGCCAGGGCGGGCAUGUGACACCCUGGCUGCUAUUCCUGCUCCGAGGGACUGUCACACGGAGCGAGAAUCACCCGGCGACAGCACACAAGGCAGGUGCGUGACCCAAACCUUCCUGACCGCUUCCCAAGGAUGGACUGAGGUCUGGAAGAAGCUGCUCGGUGUCACUGGAGCAAGGCGAGCUCCCUGUGUGCUGCCAGCUCAGCUCUGCAGAGAGCUCCGUAGGGCAGCACCCCACAGGCAGGCUUUGGCAGGGAGCUCUGUACCUUGGAGCUGCCUUCCCGCAGUGGUAGCUGGAGCUGGUUCUAAUACUUAGAUGGUUUUAAUGUGGAAACAAGAAUCCAUGAGCUGUCAGCUCUCCCCAGCCAGGCACCAUCCCAGAGCUCGGCAAACACAGAGCAUGGGAGACCUGCAGCUGCCGAAUAGCGGCUCUCUCUUCCGCUCGAGCCAGACAUGCGAGGGGUGCUGCAUCCACCCACCGUUUGACGAUACCCGUGUUGCCCACCCUGCAAGCAGCAGGAUUUAGGAUGCUGCUGGAGCGUGGAAUCCUUAUGGGAGACACCUCACAGAGGCAGCAAUGCUACACAACUGGUUUGGAUAAGAGGCGAUGAGAAGCCCCGCAUCCCGCUGCAGGAUGUAGGUCAGGCGGGUGGAAACGUGGGAGCCCUGGGCAGCAGCCAGUGCCCAGCUGGUGCGGGUGGUCUCCCAGGCCUACAGCCACCACAGACAGCCAGGGGCGUGGGCUGCGUUCUGCAGCUUUCCCCCAGCAGCUCUGCAGCAGCGGUGCCUGGAGGCGGAGUGGCCCUGUGAGGGCACGAGCCCGGGCCAUCCCAAACAAAGACUCUCUGCAAGAUCUUUCCUGUGUCGUGGAGUCUGCUCACCUGCGCUGCAGGGACAGCGGGAUGCCCCCACCAAGUGCAGGAGCCUAAGGGCUGAUGCUGAAGCUUCCUGCCCAGGGACUUGCUGCUCUCUGAGGCCUUCCCCAAAGCUCCUGCCCAAUGUCUCUGCACCUCUCGAGCCCUCACACCCAGCCAGGCAGUCAGGCUGCUCCCCACCACCAUCCCAGCAGGCUGUGGCCGGGCCCCCGGUGCGAGGGCACGGGGUAGGAGGCAGCGGGUGCACGGCUGCAUCUCGGCGAGGACACCUUAACGUGGAGGCCUGCGGCCUGCGGCUGCCUCCCGCUCCUCGCACUCCUCGCUGGGAAGCAGCUGACUCGGGGCGGCUGCCAGCGCUGCUGGCUGCUGGAUCCGGCCGCUGCAACGUGCAGUCUGACAUGUAAACCCCGGGCAGGCCUAUGCUAAUGGCUGGGGGAGGGAGCCUGGCUCAGGGGCGAGGGGGAACGGAGGUGGAGGCCGGAGCCCAGCCAGCAAAUUCCCCCCCCCCCCCCUCUGCUCCAUCACCACCUCCCCGCAUCCAUCUGCCUCCCCUCCUCCUCCUCCAUUCAUAAAAUCCGGGCGGCACUGCCAUCUACCGUAGCGUGCAAAGGCCGCCCCACCACCCUGCUGGGCCUGCGGGCAGCCUGCAGCCCCUCCAGCCCACACAAACCUUCAUCCCAUCAUCACCCUGAGGCCCCCCAGCCCAUUCCCUGCACCCUCCAGUGACACAGAGCGGGAUCCUGUCCUUUAGUGCCAGCUUGGGGCCUCCAUUCAGCCCCGUGAACCCCAGCAACAAGCAGUGGGCAGCAGGCGGCAGCCUCCCACCCCUAGGAAGCCCUCAGCUCAUGUUUCCAAACACCUCUGUACAACCACAGUCCUCAGUUGAGAUGGGGAGAUAGGGGAGAUGAAAGCCCUACGCUUCAUUAAUUAGGGCCUGAGGCUUUCAGAGCACAUGGUGGCCAGGACAAGGGUGAGAGCCAGCCCUCAGCAAUAGGCCCCACUCGGGAGAAACCCUCCUACAGCCAAGCUGCCCCUCCGAGAGGUGACCACGGCAGCAGCCGCUUUCCCAGCACAGCAACCCCCUCCCAGCUCCCCACCUAGGGAACGGCUAUCCCCAGGCACCAAAGGGCAGCGACCCCACAGCCCAGUGGGAAGCCGGCAGGGCUGGAGCUCUGGGCUGGGGCUCCUCGGCAGCCCCUACUCCCCAGCAGCCCCCAAGCCCGUGGAGCUCUUUGUUCCCCAGCGCCAGGCCUGAAGCCAGGGGAGAAGGGGCAGGGGGUGGGCAUGGAGCGGCCCUACAGGACAGCCCGCACGUGGGGCAGCGCGUGCAGCGUGCGUGCAGGUGGGAGAGCACGCUGCUGGGGCUGAAUGGGAAGCACUGUGCGAGCAUCUCUGCAGGGAAGGGAAAGAGAAGGAGAGAGAGGGAGGGAGAGAGGGAAAAAAAAAAUCCUGUGAGUGCAGCGUUUGCAAAAUGAGCUGGCAGUAAAUAGCUGGAGGACAGACAGCAUCUUGGUACGUGAGGCGCAGCACGGAGAGCUGCACCUGAGCAAGGCUGGGCCACGGCUCGCUCCACCAUCACACGUCACCUCCUGAUGCAUCCUCCCAGCCUGCCUCCCUCCCACCACCCCCUCCUCCACCGUGAAAAGGCAGUGGGAAAAUGGGUUCCCCUGUGUGCCUGGCACGGCCUCACGGCAGGGAGAGCCACGGCUCGGCUUCACUUGGUGCCUCUGCUUCGGGGCAUAUCCGGUAGCACCCUUUUUCCUGCUGGGGACCCCCGUGCCCAGCCUCUCCCCCCACCCUUCCUCGAGAGCUUCCUCCCUGAGCAAUGGCAGCCGUGCAGCCAGCUCCCUGCUUGCCGUUUGCUCUUUGUUCCCCUCGCGGGGCAGCGCGCUGCCGAGAUCUGCCGAGGACCGACACAACUCAUCUCACCCCGUGGCAAAACAAACGCUAAAUCCACGAAGCACCUGCGAAGCGCAGCGCCCUUCCCUGCCCGCCACGGGGACGCUCCGAAUGCCACAGCCGCCCCCGAGCUCACGCGGGUGACAGCGGGUGCCCCACCCCGGGUGGCGGCGGGUCCCCAAAGCCGG